GACAAACGCUGGCGGCGUGCCUAAUACAUGCAAGUUGAGCGCUGAAGGUUGGUACUUGUACCAACUGGAUGAGCAGCGAACGGGUGAGUAACGCGGGGGGAAUCUGCCUUUGAGCGGGGGACAACAUUUGGAAACAAAUGCUAAUACCGCAUAAAAACUUUAAACACAAGUUUUAAGUUUGAAAGAUGCAAUUGCAUCACUCAAAGAUGAUCCCGCGUUGUAUUAGCUAGUUGGUGAGGUAAAGGCUCACCAAGGCAAUGAUACAUAGCCAACCUGAGAGGGUGAUCGGCCACAUUGGGACUGAAACACGGCCCAAACUCCUACGGGAGGCAGCAGUAGGGAAUCUUCGGCAAUGGACAAAAGUCUGACCGAGCAACGCCGCGUGAGUGAAGAAGGUUUUCGGAUCGUAAAACUCUGUUGGUAGAGAAAAACGUUGGUGAGAGUGGAAAGCUCAUCAAGUGACGGUAACUACCCAAAAAGGGACGGCUAACUACGUGCCACCAG
rnacentral:rRNA from 1 species